rnacentral:rRNA from 1 species
UACGGAGGGAGCUAGCGUUGUUCGGAAUUACUGGGCGUAAAGCGCACGUAGGCGGCUAUUCAAGUCAGAGGUGAAAGCCCGGGGCUCAACCCCGGAACUGCCUUUGAAACUAGAUAGCUUGAAUCCAGGAGAGGUGAGUGGAAUUCCGAGUGUAGAGGUGAAAUUCGUAGAUAUUCGGAAGAACACCAGUGGCGAAGGCGGCUCACUGGUCCGGUACUGACGCUGAGGUGCGAAAGCGUGGGGAGCAAACAGG